rnacentral:tRNA from 1 species
GGAGUGUGCGCCGGUGGUCCGGCAGACGGCCCGUAAAGUCGUCGGGGCAAACGCCCAGGAGGUUCGAUUCCUUCGUGCUCCA